GCUAAACGCGAAGAACCUUACCAGGGCUUGACAUCCUUGGAAUUUCUCCGAAAGGAGAGAGUACUUUAUUGGACCAAGUGACAGGUGCUGCAUGGCCGUCGUCAGCUCGUGUCGUGAGAUGUUUGGUUAAGUCCAUUAACGAGCGCAACCCUUAUGAAUAGUUGUAUUUUUCUAUUCAGACUGCCCCGGUAACGGGGGAGGAAGGGGGGAGUGAUGUCAGGUCAGUAUUGCCCUUACGCCCUGGGCUAGAAACGCGCUACAAUGGCCGGUACAAUGCGCUGCCAACCCGCGAGGGGGAGCAAAUCGCAUCAAAGCCGGUCCCAGUUCGGAUUGCAGGCUGAAACUCGCCUGCAUGAAGCCGGAAUCACUAGUAAUCGUAGGUCAGCACACUACGGUGAAUACGUUCCCGGGUCUUGUACACACCG
rnacentral:rRNA from 1 species